UACGUAGGGGGCGAGCGUUAUCCGGAUUCAUUGGGCGUAAAGCGCGCGUAGGCGGCCGCCUAAGCGGAACCUCUAACCCCGGGGCUCAACCUCGGGCCGGGUUCCGGACUGGGCGGCUCGAGUGCGGUAGAGGAGGGCGGAAUUCCCGGUGUAGCGGUGGAAUGCGCAGAUAUCGGGAAGAACACCGAUGGCGAAGGCAGCUCUCUGGGCCGUCACUGACGCUGAGGCGCGAAAGCUGGGGGAGCGAACAGG
rnacentral:rRNA from 1 species